CAAUAGGAUUCUUGCCCGCGCCGUGCAUUCAUAAUGCCAGCUGAUUACGUGCGACGGUUAAUCUCCAGCUGUUGCACUGUUGUUCUGACGCUCUUCUCGGCAUCGACGGAGGAUGGACCUGAAGGACGCAAAGAAGCUGGAAUACGCUCGUGAAGACAAAGCACAGACAUUUGCUGAAAAUGAAGUGGACGAGGAAGCAGUAGAGUGUAAUAACGUGAUUCCUGCAAUUGGUGAGGAUGAAUCAUCUUUUAAGAGUAAUGCGAAUGUCCUGCGUAUCCAGUGAAAUAAGUCAUGGUGAACCUGACUGAAUGCAUUCAUCAACCAUCUCCAACCAAGUCAGAGCUUCAAGGACAGCUUGUGCUAAAGGUGCCUGAGCUUGAUUAAGAAAAAAAGCAUCUCCACUGGCCAAAGUCUACAAAAAAGCAAGAGAAUAGAAGUUUGCAGAUGAUCUAACAGGGUGUCACAGUGGUGCAGUGGGUAGCACGAU